AAGUAAUGUUUACAAUUAAAUUCAAAAAUUUCGUUACACAUACGAUUCGAAAAUGGGGUGCUGCUGUAAAAGAACGAGACGUAAACUCUUAUACUUAAAAAAAUAAAAUAAAAUCUAAUUUGUUUUUUUUAAAGUUUCAUACCUUGCUUUUGUCAAUAUUAUUCCAAUACCCUUGCAUACUGCUUUUGCUCAAUAAUAUUUUAAAUCGAA